GAUGAACGCUGGCGGCGUGCCUAACACAUGCAAGUCGAGCGAUUCUCUUCGGAGAAGAGCGGCGGACGGGUGAGUAACGCGUGGGUAACCUGCCCUGUACACACGGAUAACAUACCGAAAGGUAUGCUAAUACGAGAUAAUAUACUUUUAUCGCAUGGUAGAAGUAUCAAAGCUCCGGCGGUACAGGAUGGACCCGCGUCUGAUUAGCUAGUUGGUAAGGUAACGGCUUACCAAGGCGACGAUCAGUAGCCGACCUGAGAGGGUGAUCGGCCACAUUGGAACUGAGACACGGUCCAAACUCCUACGGGAGGCAGCAGUGGGGAAUAUUGCACAAUGGGCGAAAGCCUGAUGCAGCAACGCCGCGUGAGCGAUGAAGGCCUUCGGGUCGUGAAGCUCUGUCCUCAAGGAAGAUAAUGACGGUACUUGAGGAGGAAAGCCCCGGGCUAACUACGUGCCAGCAGCCGCGGUAAU
rnacentral:rRNA from 1 species